CGUGUUCUAGAGAGAGGGAAAAAGGGAAGAACACCUUCAAGAACAAAAACCCAAAAUUCAGCAAAUUAGAAAGGAAAUUGAUGGUUAAUCUCUUGCAUGAGCCCUAAUACAUGAUCAUCUAAGCUCGUUUAAUAAGUGGUGUGAAGGAAGAAGGUUCAAGCAACAAGAAACCUUAAGGCUUGCAAAAUCGAGGUAAAUCUCAUCUUUAAUAACGGCGAGCCUGGAUCGAACACACUAUUGGAAAUUUUAGUGAAAAUGAGUUUUUCACUAAAUAUUUUGGACAUCAAUAAUAUUUAUA